UACAGAGGGAGCAAGCGUUGUCCGGAAUUAUUGGGCGUAAAGAGCUCGUAGGCGGUUUGUUGCGUCGGCUGUGAAAUCCCGAGGCUCAACCUCGGGUCUGCAGUCGAUACGAGCAAACUAGAGUGUUGCAGGGGAGACUGGAAUUCCUGGUGUAGCGGUGAAAUGCGCAGAUAUCAGGAGGAACACCGGUGGCGAAGGCGGGUCUCUGGGCCGAUACUGACGCUGAGGAGCGAAAGCGUGGGGAGCGAACAGG
rnacentral:rRNA from 1 species